GCAAGUCGAGGGGUAACAGGAGAAAGCUUGCUUUUUCGCUGACGACCGGCGAACGGGUGCGUAACGCGUAUGCAACCUACCUCUUACUGGGGAAUAGCCCGAAGAAAUUCGGAUUAAGAUCCCAUAGUAUUUAAUUUUCGCAUGAUUAUUAAAUUAAAGGUUACGGUAAGAGAUGGGCAUGCGUCCCAUUAGCUAGAUGGUAAGGUAACGGCUUACCAUGGCAACGAUGGGUAGGGGGCCUGAGAGGGUGAUC
rnacentral:rRNA from 1 species